ensembl:lncRNA
AAUUUUAUUUAAUUUUUUUUUUUUUUUUUUUUUUUUUAACUAGUAAGCCCAGUCAAGCAGAGGAAGAGGAUGAAUCCCAAAAGGUCAUCAGCAAAGCCACUAUGGAGAAUACAGGUAAUAAGUCAUGAACCUAUAUUAUAUGUACUGAUCCAAAUAUUAAUUAUUCAUAUCUAAUUUUGAGCCUGUUUUGCUGAAAAUGUCUUAACCACAGCAUGAAAACCUGAAAUGCAUUAAGCAGGAAGGCACUCUCCUUCAGCUGGUGGGGGUAAAACCUCUCAUCUUCAAUAAUGAAUUUUGGCACAAUUAGUAUGCCAUUUCAAUUAUACAAUUGUAACAAUGGCUGGAGAGGACUCCUGGACUGGAAAAGGAUGGAUUUAAUUUCUGGGGAAUACUGCAAGCCAACAUCGAAGAAGGUCUCAAGAUGGAGAAACACAAACUUGAAGUUCGUUUUGCUUUCUUUUCCAAUCACAAUCAUUUUUUCCAUUCCAUUUUCUCAGAAAUGCUGCUAUGCUCAAGGUUUACUCACUGCUUUGACUUACAGAAAACGGAAGAUUCUGAGGCGAAGGAGUCUCAAACAGGAGAACAAACAGACUGAGGUCUUCACCGCCCUGUUUGAUCCAAAACACCAUGAGCAUCUUUUCAGCAAAGUAUGCUUCCCUCUCGCACAUAACAAUCAAGAAUCCUGAUGUCAUUUACCUCGAUGAAGGCCGAACGAACCAGCGCAGCUGUCAGAUUCUUCGCAGAUUUACAGUAAGCCUCCACCAUUAAAUCCUGAUUAUUACCAGAUGUUUUCCCCCCUUUUUCCUCCCAGUCUUAGGGUACAAAAUGAUUUUUUUCUAGUUCUUUCUUUCAUGGAAGAAAAAAGCUAAGAGAAUGAGAUCAGUGGAAAAAGCUUGCUGAGCUCUGGCCAAACAUUAGACUCCUGUAAAUAGAAUUUUCAAGGAGAAAUGAAUCCCUUCUUUUGGGGGAAAAACACACCCAUUCCCCUUCAGUUGCCACCAGGCAACUAUUUUGAUCCAAAACAUACAGUAAACAUCCCAUUUCACACUUUCACCCUCCCUCUCUGAAGCAUAAUCAUGAUAUUACCACAUUUUUUGCACAUACAGUAGUAUCUUAUAAUACCUUGUAAACAUUAUUUAGUACCAUGGUACCACCACAGUACUUUUUUUUGUAAAGAGCCAUGACUAGGUUUGCCCAAAGACCACCCUGAUCUCCCUUAUGUGACGUUCCAGCUCAUGCAGUGUUCAUUACAGACGAGAGAGGAAAAAAAUAUUCCUCUGCUGUUUUCCCUCCUCUAUUUUAGCAACACUGCUAGAUGUACAAUGAAUGUAGUGUCUUCCCUUUACCGACUUUACACUCACUCUUUCCCAGUUUUAAAACAUAGCUGCUCUUGCUGGGACUCUUUCAAAGCGGUUAGAUGUUUUCCCAUCCUCUCACAUGCACAAAUGAAUUAUGACGUCGUUCUUCACUCACAAUGUUGUAAUUAUUAUUUUCCAGAGUGCCAUCUUGAAUUUACUGUAUAGUGCUAGUGGGAGACAUUAACCCAGACACAAAGCAUCAUUCAUUAACUCCAGAUAUUAGCCAUACUGUUCCACUCCUGUCAUUGUUCUGGAAAAAUAUAUGAACACAAAGGUAUAGCUCAUCAUUUAUCUUAAUCGAUGACAUCAUUUGGUGUGUUGAUUACAUCAGCUUCAUGUCAUAGAUCUCAAACCAGAAGUUUGAUACCCCAUCCCACCCAAUAUUCAGAUUAGUGGUCAACCAAUUAUGUUUUUUAGUUGUUUAAGUAAUACAUGUGUAAUAGCCUUGUUUACUUCAUUAAUAGCCAGAUGAAAUUAUAGGCCAGUUAUUCUAUGACUUUUUUUAAUUCUGUUAAAAUGUGUAUGUAUAUUGCUUUGUGCCAUCUAAAGUUGAAUUACAUUUUUAUUUGUUAUUAUUAUUUUUUAUAUAUUUGGGGAUAUUAUGCAUUCAGAAUGGGUAACAUUGUUGACUGUUAAUGCUGACAUUCACAUAGAUAAGUAUCUCUAUGGAUAUUCAUAAGUAUCCAUUUAUCAAUUAUGUUUAUUUUCAAAUACACUACCAUUCAAAAGUCUGGGCUCCGUAAUUUUUUCCCCCUCAAGGCUUUUAUUUCAUUAAACAUUCGUUAAAAAACAGUACUGUGAAAUAUUUGAUGCAAUUUAAAAUAAAAGAUGUUUUGACGCGCA